UUUGGUUUGUUACGUGUGGUUGGCUGCGGCGUUUGCAACAACUUCCAUGCUUUCAGACCUCUUCAGUUGUGCGGCAAGGCUUGUAUCGCCUUGAGCGUAUUGCGGGUUUUCUGUGUUGGCUACCUAAUCAAUGGUAUCGGUUGGAUUGAUCAAAUUUUAUUUCGUCUUCCGUCGCGUUCGCGGCGUGAGGUGAACCUCGAUGCGGUCUCUUUGAUCCACCUCGUCGAAGCACAUGCUUUGACGUUGUGGCACAUUGAGCAUUGCUUGGUCUCUUGUAUACGGAACAUGUAGUGGGCAUGGAUCUAACGAUUCUCGUUUGCCCUCAUAUUAGCGUAACGCUUCUCUAACACGACUUGUGCCAUGUUUUAG
rnacentral:misc_RNA from 1 species